rnacentral:rRNA from 1 species
CCAAGGAGUCUAGCAUGUGCGCGAGUCAUUGGGACUCUAACGAAACCUAAAGGCGCAAUGAAAGUGAAGGUUCGCCACGCGCGAACCGAGGGAGGAUGGACGGUCGACCGUGGCCGUCCCGCACUCCCUGGGCGUCUCGUUCUCAUCGCGAGAAGAGGCGCACCAAGAGCGUACACGCUGGGACCCGAAAGAUGGUGAACUAUGCCUGGUCAGGACGAAGUCAGGGGAAACCCUGAUGGAGGUCCGUAGCGAUUCUGACGUGCAAAUCGAUCGUCGGAACUGGGUAUAGGGGCGAAAGACUAAUCGAACCAUCUAGUAGCUGGUUCCCUCCGAAGUUUCCCUCAGGAUAGCUGGCGCUCGCUUCUCGCGAGUCUCAUUCGGUAAAGCGAAUGAUUAGAGGCAUUGGGGUCGAAACGGCCUCAACCUAUUCUCAAACUUUAAAUGGGUGAGAUCUCCGGCUUGCUUGAACUGUGAAGCCGCGAGAUAUCGGAUCAGAGUGCCAAGUGGGCCACUUUUG